GACGAACGCUGGCGGCGUGCUUAACACAUGCAAGUCGAACGGAAAGGCCCUGCUUUUGUGGGGUGCUCGAGUGGCGAACGGGUGAGUAACACGUGAGUAACCUGCCCUUGACUUUGGGAUAACUUCAGGAAACUGGGGCUAAUACCGGAUAGGAGCUCCUGCUGCACGGUGGGGGUUGGAAAGUUUCGGCGGUUGGGGAUGGACUCGCGGCUUAUCAGCUUGUUGGUGGGGUAGUGGCUUACCAAGGCUUUGACGGGUAGCCGGCCUGAGCGGGUGAACGGCCACAUUGGGACUGAGAUACGGCGCAGACGCCUACGGGAGGCAGCAGUGGGGAAUAUGGCACAAUGGGCGGAAGCCUGAGGCAGCAACGCCGCGUGCGGGAUGACGGCCUUCGGGUUGUAAACCGCUUUCGCCUGUGACGAAGCGGGAGUGACGGUAAUGGGUAAAGAAGCACCGGCUAACUACGUG
rnacentral:rRNA from 1 species